UAAGUAAUGUGAGAGUAUCCGAAAGAUCUAAAAAACCACCUGUAACGAGAUAUAAUUAAAUUAAAUGAAGUAAAUCUAUUUUCAUCCCCUUUUCAGUGUAAAUUAAAUUCUCAGCAAUUCUUGUAUGAUAAAUCCAUAUGUUACAAAUAAUCUAACAAAAUAAUACAGUCUGGUUCAUUUCCAGAGAGACUAAAAUACUCCGUAAUAAAGCCUCUCUUGAAAGAAGAAUCAUCUUAAAAAAUAUGUUAUUCUAAAUCCUAAUCAAUAUGGUUUUAAAAAAAAACUGGAACACAUUUGUUCUGAUAUGUGACUCAUUCUAUAUCCAGUGGUUUGUGAAUAUACUUUUCUUUGACUAUACUCCUAGGCGCAAUUAAUUUACUUCAUUAUUUUGAAAACUGGGUAUGUCGUGCAGGGACUUGCGGCAUACCCACGAAAUGUCAGCCAUGCAGAGGUACUGGCAGCAGCUACAUUGGUUUUCUGCAGACAGAACCGAACUCUCUACCGCUGCAUAUUCCCCAACAUCUCGGAACGGCAGCUGGAUUCAUUACUGUUGGCUGCGUGGGAUUCAUCACCUGAGACAGAAAAGAAUAUUUACAUAUCGGAGGUUUCCACAAGCAUCUCCCCCUUUGCGUGGUAUACUAUAAUUGCAGCCCUGUUUGUGCUGGUUACAUGUGCGUUGAGAAAGUUGUAUAUCCGGACAUACCAUUCUACAAUCCAUGAGGAACAGGUGGUGGUCAAUAGAGCCCUGAAGAAGAACAAGGAACUGACCACCCGCAGUACGACACCAAAGUUACAGGGGUGCCCUGCAACAUGUAUCCCUGUUAAAACACAAACCGUUCCUACAAUCCAUGAGGAAAAGGUGGUGGUCUAUAGACCCCUGGAGAAGAACAAGGAACUGACAACCCACAGUACGACACCAAAGUUACAGGGGUGCCCUGCACCAUGUAUCCCUGUUAAAACACAAACAGUUCCUACAAUCCAUGAGGAACAGGAGGUGGUCGAUAGACCCCGGGAGAAGCAGAAGGAACUGACCACCAGCAGUAUGACACCAAAGUUACAGGGGUGCCCUGCAACAUGUAUCCCUGUUAAAACACAAACAGUUCCUACAAUCCAUGAGGAACAGGAGGUGGUCAAUAGAGCCCUGGAGAAGAACAAGGAACUGACCACCAGCAGUACGACACCAAAGUUACAGGGCUGCCCUGCAACACGCAUCUCUGUUGAAACACAAACACUACAAUCAAUGAGGAACAGGAGGUGGUCGAUAGAGCCCUGGAGAAGCACAAGGAACUGACCACCCGCAGUAUAACACCAAAGUUACAGGGGUGCCUUCCAACACGCAUCUCUGUUUCAACACAAACAGUUCCUACAAUCCAUGAACAGGACGUGGUCGAUAGACCCCUGGAGAAGAACAAGGAACUGACGACCCGCAGUACGACACCAAAGUUACAGGGGUGCCCUGCAACACGUGUCCCUGAUAGAAGAAGAGAGAAAUUUGAGCCUGCAGUUUUUGCAGCACAUAAGAAGAGUGAGCAGAUUUCCUAGUCCAUGCAACUAACCUAACAUUAAAAUAACACAUUUUCCUGUGUUAGCAUUAAGUUAAUGUGGAAGGACAAUUUUUUUCAUCUUGUCAAGAUAUUCUUAAGGUAAUCUGAAAUGUUCGCUGGAUUUAACUUUGUAAACACCAAACCAUGAAAAAGUAUGGGGAAAUGGAAGCAUAGCUCCAAAUUCAUAUUAGCAUACACCUAACUGAAGUCGAGAUAGGUUAUUUUAUAUAGCAGUGGUCUACAGGCUGGAUGGUCCGGGUUUGAUUCCAUGCAUUCAGAGAUUUUUCUCCUCUUGAUAGAAUCUGGACACACACUGGGGUCCAUCCAGCCACCUAGCUAAUGGGUACCAGGGGAUUCUGAAUACUGACUCGUCCACGUGAGGGUUGUGUAAAUGGCAUAAGUCGAAGUAUCAGAUUUUAAGGUUGUUCAAAUAGUAUGAGGUGACAAUGUGACAUAUGUGAAUGGAUGUAAUAUUAUAUUUAAGCAUCCUGUUGCACUCCAUACGAUAAAUGAUAUAAUGAUACAAAUUCCGUCCCAA